rnacentral:rRNA from 1 species
GAUGAACGCUGGCGGCGUGCCUAAUACAUGCAAGUCGAGCGAACGGACGAGAAGCUUGCUUCUCUGAUGUUAGCGGCGGACGGGUGAGUAACACGUGGAUAACCUACCUAUAAGACUGGGAUAACUUCGGGAAACCGGAGCUAAUACCGGAUAAUAUUUUGAACCGCAUGGUUCAAAAGUGAAAGACGGUCUUGCUGUCACUUAUAGAUGGAUCCGCGCUGCAUUAGCUAGUUGGUAAGGUAACGGCUUACCAAGGCAACGAUGCAGCCGACCUGAGAGGGUGAUCGGCCACACUGGAACUGAGACACGGUCCAGGCUCCUACGGGAGGCAGCAGUAGGGAAUCUUCCGCAAUGGGCGAAAGCCUGACGGAGCAACGCCGCGUGAGUGAUGAAGGUCUUCGGAUCGUAAAACUCUGUUAUUAGGGAAGAACAUAUGUGUAAGUAACUGUGCACAUCUUGACGGUACCUAAUCAGAAAGCCACGGCUAACUACGUG